AUAAGGAUUUAAGUGCCUAUCGACAUGGAUCGUAUCUACCGUGCCGUACCGUGCUAAGAAGAUAUCGACACAGCCCACGUGCCGAUGAUACAGUUCAAAGCUUUCUAUUUUUUAAAUUAAUAAGUAAUUUUCUUAAUAAAGUUCAAAAGAUUUAAUAAAAAUACAUAAUAAAUAGUUAGAACAUUUUAUUGUUAAAGAAUAUAAAUAUUUCAUACAAUUAUAUGUCAAUAUACAUAAAUUUUUUGUGAUUGGCACGCAUCAGCACGGUCCGGCACGCAUCGUGCCGUACCGUGCUAGUAAGUUUCCGACACGACCUCAUACUACGGUACUUAAAUCCUUGUA
rnacentral:lncRNA from 1 species